CCUACGGGAUGCAGCAGUGGGGAAUAUUGGACAAUGGGCGAAAGCCUGAUCCAGCCAUGCCGCGUGUGUGAAGAAGGCCUUCGGGUUGUAAAGCACUUUCAGUGGGGAAGAAAGCCUUGGGGCUAAUACCCUCGAGGAAGGACAUCACCCACAGAAGAAGCACCGGCUAACUCCGUGCCAGCAGCCGCGGUAAUACGGAGGGUGCGAGCGUUAAUCGGAAUUACUGGGCGUAAAGCGCGCGUAGGCGGUCUGAUAAGCCGGUUGUGAAAGCCCCGGGCUCAACCUGGGAACGGCAUCCGGAACUGUCAGGCUAGAGUGCAGUAGAGGAAGGUAGAAUUCCCGGUGUAGCGGUGAAAUGCGUAGAGAUCGGGAGGAAUACCAGUGGCGAAGGCGGCCUUCUGGACUGACACUGACGCUGAGGUGCGAAAGCGUGGGUAGCAAACAGGAUUAGAUACCCCAGUAGUC
rnacentral:rRNA from 1 species